rnacentral:rRNA from 1 species
UACGGAGGGUGCAAGCGUUAUCCGGAUUCACUGGGUUUAAAGGGUGCGUAGGCGGGUUGGUAAGUCCGUGGUGAAAUCUCCGAGCUUAACUCGGAAACUGCCGUGGAUACUAUCAAUCUUGAAUAUCGUGGAGGUAAGCGGAAUAUGUCAUGUAGCGGUGAAAUGCUUAGAUAUGACAUAGAACACCAAUUGCGAGGGCAGCUCGCUACACGAAUAUUGACUCUGAGGCACGAAAGCGUGGGGAUCAAACAGG